rnacentral:sRNA from 1 species
GUAGCAUACGACAAUAAUGGAAAAGUGAUUGGAUUUGGAAAUGUGAUCAUCUAUCCAUCUGGUGAAUGUGUAUUGACUCCACUAUAUGCUGAUGAUAGUAAAGUGGCUCAGGCGAUAUUCAAAAGCAUUUUAAAAGAAAUUCCACUCAAUGGCAAGAAGGAACAUAGAUUCCAAAUUAGAUCAAUCGAUCAAUGUGACGGGGGAUUUGAGUAUAAAUCAGUAUUAUGACAUCUCAAUUAGAAUUGCUUUUUAGAUGGAUCCAGCCCUUUGUCAGAAGACCGAUAAGAAAGGAAAUCAUGGGAUACAUGUGUGGCAUUCCUCAUCAUCCGACCGUCAACUACAAGAAAACUUAUUCAAAUACACCAUAUACCACCUGCGCAAUUUGAUACAAGUGAUAAAACUAUUUUUUAAUUCUUUACAAUUUUUGUUGCCUUUUUUGCUGAGAGCAGACAUAGUUUCUCCAAGAAACACACUGAAGAAAGUGAGCAGAAGUGAAUUGUAUCUUUAAAGACUGGGAUUUUUGUCUAUGUUCUUCAGAAAAUUAAUCCCAUGUAAGAUUGGCAGAUAUCCGAGACAAGAUAGAAGUGAUACGUGGACUCAGGGUUCGUGCACGAGAAAAGUCAGUAUUCAUCCGAUAUGAAAACCGAAAUGAACUGGAUCCUGCACGACAAAACCAAGAAAGACUGAACAGAAAAUGUGUGCAGAAACGUGUUCCAAAGAUGGUCUUACUCGAACAUGCAUAUUUGAAUCGAAAACUAGGAAGCAAUCAAAAUGAACAAGUGCAACUAGAUCAAAAAUAAUCACUGAAAAAUUGAACGGAUAACAGAGAAUUGCUUGAUCCAAAAACGUUUUUUGAACGAUACAAUACCAACAAAUCAUAUGCAGCCAGUUCCAAGUGAUUAGUGUUUAGAAUGUUUAUAAGAUUUUGAGAUUUUAGAAUAGUUUCCCACGUGUAGAACCUUCGAAGACCUUGCGUGUUCGGUUAACCUUUUUUAUUUUACUUUUAUGUUUUCGAUUUUUCCGAUUAAUUCAUAAAACUAGACUUGCCCAAUUCGACUUGAAUGCUCUUCAAAUCUCUUGGCCGCCAUCUCACGAAAGUUUCUUCGAAUAGUGCCAGUUCACUCAGGACAAUCAAGUACAAAACUGUGGAUGGAAAACCAAGAGAUACACUUACACUUCAAAAUGUUGAUUUUAUAAUCAAUCCUGAUGAGAAAAUGAUUGAUGAGUAUAUGAAAGUGGUAAGUCAUUUUCAGGAGUUGCGAGAAGUCUGGCAUAAAGACUACAUUGAGAAGUUGAAAAUGUUCAUUUGUUUUAAUUUAAUCAUAUAUGAGCUCAGAUGCAUUUCAGUACGGAAAUCAACGUUUGAACUUCAAAAGAAACGACAUUUCAAUGUGGAUGAAGUCAUUUGAAGGCCGUUAUGCUCUGUGGUUUACUUGCCCAAAGGGAACUAACAAAAUAAUUCAAACAUCCCACGUCAUCACCUUCCCACCGAUACCAUCAAACAAUGACACAAAUCAUCAAUAUCGUGGAAUGUUUUGGAUUGAUGCAGAUUAUCGUGGAGUUGAUAGCAUGAUAUUGACUGAUUAUAUUGAGAAGCUCAGAAUUCGUAAUCAAUCAGAUAAUGCUGUUGCUCAAUGCAUGCCUACUUCGAUGAACUUAUGGAAGAAAAUGCAUGGACAAAAUGAUGCUGGACAUAUUCAGAAUGUUUCAUAUUACAAGCCAGAUGAGAUGCAGGUUCCUGACGACUUGAAUCUUGAUGGAAUAUUCCUUAAAAAUGCAACGGAGGCACCAAAUAUGUAUAUUGUGAAACUGUUAAAUCUUCUUAGAGAUCCUGAAGGUUUUGGAAAGG